AAUGAUAUCUUUGGCAACUAUAAAACGGAGGUAGAGGUUCAAGACUUGUAAACACAUACAAAAAUACCACGAUAUAUAUAGUUGAGCAGUACCAGCAGUACCCACAUCACCCAACAAAAAUAAUAAUAAGAUGAAGUCUGUAUUUCUUAUUUUGAUUAGCAUCUUUCUGACUGUACUUCUCUUCUUUCCAUCUUCAAUCUUAGCUCGAGAUUUGGCAGCAGAAAUUCCCGAUGCUAUACAGCCAAAGCCAGGGACCGGCAAUCCAAACAAGCCUGUAGCUCCAUGUAAUAAGCCUGGUGCUGCAUACUGCCAAGGUGGUAAGCCAGUUCCCAAAAAAUGCAAGAAAUACGAGAGAAACUGCCGUGAAGAUGAAGGCCUGAAUUAAUGAAUAAUGGUGAAACAAAGCCGACCAUUACUCCAGCUAGUAUCAGCUCAUCAUCUAAUACUAUACUACUAUAUAUUGUGUUGUAUUACGGAGUCGUUUUGUGUGAUUUACUUAUUUCAGUUUAAAGUCCAUAUAAAAUGGAUGAAAUAAUCGAAUAUUAUUCUUACAAUGUUCGAUUUGUUGAAGUAUCUAGAACUAAGACUUUGUCUGUUUUUUUUUUGUUGCUGAAAUGUGUUGUCGUGUCUUGCGUUAUAUAUAUCUAGCUAGCUAGUGACUAUAUGCAUGACAUGUACAUCUUCAUGUAUAAUUGAAAUAAAGGAGCUGAUCGUCAUA